rnacentral:rRNA from 1 species
GAUGAACGCUGGCGGCGUGCUUAACACAUGCAAGUCGAACGAUUAACCCACCUUCGGGUGGUCAUAGAGUGGCGAACGGGUGAGUAACACGUGACCAACCUGCCUCAUGCAUCGGGAUAACUGCUGGAAACGGCAGCUAAUACCGGAUACUCUUGCAACUUCGCAUGGAGAUGCAAGGAAAGCUUUCGCGGCAUGAGAUGGGGUCGCGGCCCAUUAGGUAGACGGUGAGGUAGUGGCUCACCGUGCCUGCGAUGGGUAGCCGGACUGAGAGGUCGAUCGGCCACAUUGGGACUGAGAUACGGCCCAGACUCCUACGGGAGGCAGCAGUGGGGAAUAUUGCGCAAUGGGGGAAACCCUGACGCAGCAACGCCGCGUGCGGGAUGAAGGCUUUCGGGUUGUAAACCGCUUUCAGCAGGGAAGAUAAUGACGGUACCUGCAGAAGAAGCCCCGGCUAACUACGUGCCAGCAGCCGCGGUAAUACGUAGGGGGCAAGCGUUAUCCGGAUUCAUUGGGCGUAAAGCGCGCGCAGGCGGGCCGCUAAGCGGGACCUCUAAUCUUGGGGCUCAACCUCAAGCCGGGUCCCGAACUGGCAGCCUCGAGUGCGGUAGGGGUAAGCGGAAUUCCCGGUGUAGCGGUGGAAUGCGCAGAUAUCGGGAAGAACACCGAUGGCGAAGGCAGCUUACUGGGCCGACACUGACGCUGAGGCGCGAAAGCUAGGGGAGCGAACAGGAUUAGAUACCCUGGUAGUCCUAGCCGUAAACGAUGAACACUAGGUGUGGGAGAGAUAACUCUUCCGUGCCGCAGCUAACGCAUUAAGUGUUCCGCCUGGGGAGUACGGCCGCAAGGCUAAAACUCAAAGGAAUUGACGGGGGCCCGCACAAGCAGCGGAGCAUGUGGCUUAAUUCGAAGCAACGCGAAGAACCUUACCAGGGCUUGACAUGCUAGUGAAGCCGGGGAAACUCGGUGGCCGAAAGGAGCUAGCGCAGGUGGUGCAUGGCUGUCGUCAGCUCGUGUCGUGAGAUGUUGGGUUAAGUCCCGCAACGAGCGCAACCCCUGUUCUGUGUUGCCAGCAUUAAGUUGGGGACUCACAGAAGACUGCCGGCGUUAAGCCGGAGGAAGGUGGGGAUGACGUCAAGUCAUCAUGCCCCUUACGCCCUGGGCUGCACACGUGCUACAAUGGCCGGCACAAUGGGUUGCCACCCCGCGAGGGGGAGCGGAUCCCUUAAAGCCGGUCCCAGUUCGGAUUGCAGGCUGAAACCCGCCUGCAUGAAGGCGGAGUUGCUAGUAAUCGCGGAUCAGCAUGCCGCGGUGAAUGCGUUCCCGGGCCUUGUACACACCGCCCGUCACACCACCCGAGUCGUCUGCACCCGAAGCCGCCGGCCCAACCUUUUGGAGGGAGGCGUCGAAGGUGUGGAGGGUGAGGGGGGUGAAGUCGUAACAAGGUAGCCGUACCGGAAGGUGCGGCUGGAUCACCUCCUUUCUAGGGAGAUACCCUAAGUAAAGAAACCUAUUUAAAUCUCACAAUCGUGAUUUGUUAAUCUACAGCAUCCGGCCCUCAGGGUGUUUUGCACUCUGACGCGUGAGAGAUCACAUCUCUUACAGCACCUUGACAUCUGCAUAGCGCGCGGCGCUAAACCAAGAUCAGCUGCACCGAUCUGGCGCCGCGAGCAAGAGAAUCAGACAGAUUUAGAUAUGAGAUUCCACUUUAUGUGGAUGAUAUCUGGAUGUCGGAUACUAAGCUCAUCAUCAUGAGUUUUUCCUCAUUCAUCUUCAUCGCAAAGUGUGGAAGCUUCAAAUCUGUCACGAACAACGAUCGUAUUUAUAUCCUUAAACAUUUGUUUAAGGGUCAAGGUAUGCUCAACUAAUCAUUUAGUUGUAGCUUGACGUUAGUGUUAGCAGUCAAGAUAUGAAGGGCACACGGCGGAUGCCUUGGCACAGGGAGUCGAUGAAGGACGCGGCUAGCUGCGAUAAUCUGCGGUUAGGGGCACACACCCGCUUGACCCGCAGGUCUCCGAAUGGGGGAACCCAGCAGAGGUUAUGCUCUGUUACCCAUCUCUGAAUAAAAUAGGAGAUGUGGGGACGACCCGCCGAACUGAAACAUCUAAGUAGGCGGAGGAAUAUAAAUCAAAAGAGAUUGCGCUAGUAGCGGCGAGCGAACGCGCAAGAGCCCAAACCCGGGCGAGUGUCAAGCGGCAGGCUUUGCCGCCCGGGGGUUGUGGGGCCAAACAUUGGAGAGGCUGCCCCUCUCCAUGCGGUUACAAAUCCCUUGCGUAGCCGAACGAGCUGGAAAGCUCGGCCGAAGACGGUGAUAAGCCCGGUAGGCGAAACGCAUAGGGACCGUAAGUUUGGUACCCGAGUAGAUCCGCUCACGUGGAAGGCGGAUCGAAUCUGGGAGGACCACCUUCCAAGGCUAAAUACUACCCUGUGACCGAUAGUGAACC